UUAUAUGUACGGUUACACUUCUAAAUAGAUCACAAAGAAAUCCUUGACUCCCUGUCUAUCAUUAAUUUCCUUUUUCUCUCAACAAGUUACCGAAAGGAACUGUAUGAAAAUGAAGACUUGAAACUACAAUCCAUGACUCAGGAAAGGCUGUCUUUGCCAUUUUACCUUUGUGUAUUUCUGCACAAAGUUAGUAUCAGUAUUUCUCUAGUAUACUUUUGGAUUAGGAAUUUGAAAAGGAUUCUCCAUCAUCAAAGAGUGGUCCUGGAUGCACACCAGUCAUAAAAUCAGCAGUUUAAAGGCCUGCAUGCCACAAGCCUUGAUGGUGGAAAGAAUGUGUCUGAGGUGGGAGGAAAAGACAUCCUGUGGUCCCUACUAAAGAAUAAUUCUCUGAAGAACAACAAUUUGAAGAGGUUGAACCAACAGAUAACAAUACAGACUGAUAACUACUUAAAAGUUCCUUAGGAAUAAUGGCUAACGAAUUGGAAAAAAAACAGAGGAAAGAAAUAGCUUUACACCUAAAUACCAGCAGAAACUCCUGCUGAGACAAAUGUUCCAGGGUGUGUUCACUGUGACAUUCAAAGGGAAGCAAAGUGCAAAGGGGCAAGAAAGCAGGUGUAUUAUAACACUAUAAUUCAUUUUCUUAGAGGAUUAAAAUUCAUGCAGGAGAAAAUCAGUGGUGAAGUUAUAGUACAGAAUCAUCUUUUGCAUCAUGACAAGAACAUGG